rnacentral:rRNA from 1 species
GCUCUGGAAAGUGCGGCCAUAGUGGGUGAUAGCCCCGUACGCGAAAGGAUCUUUGAAGUGAAAUCGAGUAGGACGGAGCACGAGAAACUUUGUCUGAACAUGGGGGGACCAUCCUCCAAGGCUAAAUACUACUGACUGACCGAUAGUGAACCAGUACCGUGAGGGAAAGGCGAAAAGAACCCCGGAGAGGGGAGUGAAAUAGAACCUGAAACCGUAUGCGUACAAGCAGUGGGAGCCUACUUGUUAGGUGACUGCGUACCUUUUGUAUAAUGGGUCAGCGACUUAUAUUCAGUGGCAAGCUUAACCGUAUAGGGUAGGCGUAGCGAAAGCGAGUCUUAAUAGGGCGUUUAGUCGCUGGGUAUAGACCCGAAACCGGGCGAUCUAUCCAUGAGCAGGUUGAAGGUUAGGUAACACUGACUGGAGGACCGAACCCACUCCCGUUGAAAAGGUAGGGGAUGACUUGUGGAUCGGAGUGAAAGGCUAAUCAAGCUCGGAGAUAGCUGGUUCUCCUCGAAAGCUAUUUAGGUAGCGCCUCAUGUAUCACUCUGGGGGGUAGAGCACUGUUUCGGCUAGGGGGUCAUCCCGACUUACCAAACCGAUGCAAACUCCGAAUACCCAGAAGUGCCGAGCAUGGGAGACACACGGCGGGUGCUAACGUCCGUCGUGAAAAGGGAAACAACCCAGACCGCCAGCUAAGGUCCCAAAGUUGUGGUUAAGUGGUAAACGAUGUGGGAAGGCUUAGACAGCUAGGAGGUUGGCUUAGAAGCAGCCACCCUUUAAAGAAAGCGUAAUAGCUCACUAGUCGAGUCGGCCUGCGCGGAAGAUGUAACGGGGCUCAAACCACACACCGAAGCUGCGGGUGUCACGUAAGUGACGCGGUAGAGGAGCGUUCUGUAAGCCUGUGAAGGUGAGUUGAGAAGCUUGCUGGAGGUAUCAGAAGUGCGAAUGCUGACAUGAGUAACGACAAUGGGUGUGAAAAACACCCACGCCGAAAGACCAAGGGUUCCUGCGCAACGUUAAUCGACGCAGGGUUAGUCGGUUCCUAAGGCGAGGCUGAAAAGCGUAGUCGAUGGGAAACAGGUUAAUAUUCCUGUACUUCUGGUUACUGCGAUGGAGGGACGGAGAAGGCUAGGCCAGCUUGGCGUUGGUUGUCCAAGUUUAAGGUGGUAGGCUGAAAUCUUAGGUAAAUCCGGGGUUUCAAGGCCGAGAGCUGAUGACGAGUCGUCUUUUAGAUGACGAAGUGGUUGAUGCCAUGCUUCCAAGAAAAGCUUCUAAGCUUCAGGUAACCAGGAACCGUACCCCAAACCGACACAGGUGGUCGGGUAGAGAAUACCAAGGCGCUUGAGAGAACUCGGGUGAAGGAACUAGGCAAAAUGGCACCGUAACUUCGGGAGAAGGUGCGCCGGCUAGGG